UAUCUGCUGCCUGCAGGCAGCCAGGGGGCAGCGCGCCCAGAGCAUCUGUGGUAAAGUUACUGCGGUAGUAGAGAAUACAGGUAAAGAAAUAAAAGAGAAAAAGGAAUGGAGGAGCAACCAUCCCCUGUUUUUUACUACUACCCUCUGCUAGUGGUACCACCACCCCUAGUCCUGUAUGUUCCCCCCACCCACGGCACCCCCCGCCUGCUGCGCCCCCCGCGGUGUUCACCACUGCCGAUGAGCACAGCGGCACCACCGCUGCCAGCGCAUAAAAUAUGAGCAAUAGCGCAGGCAGACGCUGCAUGCCAGACCUGACCUCCAGCAUAUGCAGCAUCCCGGGUGACAUAUAGAAGACUUUCCAGAUUGGAAAUCGAGAAGGAUCAGUAAGGAGAAAAAUCAUCAAGGAUCCACCCACCAGGAGAAGC